GACGAACGCUGGCGGCGUGCUUAACACAUGCAAGUCGAACGAAGUGGCGAACGGGUGAGUAACGCGUAAUUAACCUGCCCUUCAGAGGGGGACAACAGUUGGAAACGACUGCUAAUACCGCAUACUGAAGGAGGGGAUUGCGUCUGAUUCGCUAGUUGGAGGGGUAACGGCCCAACAAGGCGAUGAUCAGUAGGCGGUCUGGGAGGAGGAACGGCGACAAUGGGAAUGGGAAAAGGGCCAGGCGGCGACGGGAGGAAGCAGGGGGGAAAGUGCCGAAAGGGACGAAAGUCUGACGGAGCAACGGCGCGUGAGGGAUGAAGGGCUUCGGGUUGUAAAGCUCUGUUAAGCGGGACGCGGUACCGGAAUAGAAAGCCACGGCUAACUACGUGCCAGCAGCCGCGGUAAUUC
rnacentral:rRNA from 1 species